rnacentral:rRNA from 1 species
GUGUCAGCAGCCGCGGUAAUACGUAGGGUGCGAGCGUUAAUCGGAAUUACUGGGCGUAAAGCGUGCGCAGGCGGUUCGUUAAGUCUGAUGUGAAAGCCCCGGGCUCAACCUGGGAACGGCAUUGGAAACUGGCGGGCUGGAGUAUGGCAGAGGGGGGUGGAAUUCCACGUGUAGCAGUGAAAUGCGUAGAGAUGUGGAGGAACACCGAUGGCGAAGGCAGCCCCCUGGGCCAAUACUGACGCUCAGGCACGAAAGCGUGGGGAGCAAACAGGAUUAGAUACCCGGGUAGUCC